UUUCAAAUUUCAAAGAGUUGUCUGUUGAUUUGAAAUUAGCUCAAAGUGAAGUGAUACCUAAUUCGAUUGUGUUAUUACUAGUGGUAGAUUUAUUCAAAAUGUGGUUUGUGUGUUCGGUAAUCAAAAUAAACAGUACUUAAACAAUGUAAACAUGGCUGAUGGCACUCAGUCACUCAGUCAAAAAUCAAGAACAGUUUCACUCAAGAACCCUUCGCCAAAAAGUCGACAGAAGAUAACAAAGCCCUUGUUCUAAUUGGAGAAGUAAAAAUUAAAUCCGCAUCUAAUCUGCAGAUUAUUGCGAAAACUGAAGCAAACAGUUUCAAGUGGUACAUAUAUUGAAGAUUAACCAAAGAUACGACGAUACUUUCCAAAUUUCGGUCGGUUGGAACAUCUAUGUCUACUUUAGCCAUAGUAUCUGCGAGAAAAAGAAAAAAACACGAUGGAAGAUUUUGGCAAAUAAUUUCGAACGAGUUCUGCAGACAAUACCAUUGUAGCUGUUCAUCAUCAUCGUAUUCUCUACAUGCUGCAAAUCCAAAGUCAUGUUUUUGAAUAGAUGGAUGAGAUUUUGAGGAACUGUAAUGUAUUUGUUCUCUUUUCCGGAAUACGAUUUGCGCCAAGAUAUCCAUCUUUUCAAUUGUCUGAAAGUGAAAAUGGAACGACGUGAACGUGAAGAAUGAAUUAAGAUAUACCUGGUGAGUUAAU